UAAGGAAUAUUGGUCAAUGGACGCAAGUCUGAACCAGCCAUGCCGCGUGAAGGAUGAAGGUCCUCUGGAUUGUAAACUUCUUUUAUCUGGGACGAAAACGGGAUUUUUAUCUCAAUUGACGGUACCAGAGGAAUAAGCACCGGCUAACUCCGUGCCAGCAGCCGCGGUAAUACGGAGGGUGCGAGCGUUAUCCGGAUUCACUGGGUUUAAAGGGUGCGUAGGUGGGUAUGUAAGUCAGUGGUGAAAUCCCCGAGCUUAACUUGGGAACUGCCAUUGAUACUAUAUAUCUUGAAUACCGUAGAGGUAAGCGGAAUAUGUCAUGUAGCGGUGAAAUGCUUAGAUAUGACAUGGAACACCAAUUGCGAAGGCAGCUUACUAUGCGGUGAUUGACACUGAGGCACGAAAGCGUGGGUAGCAAACA
rnacentral:rRNA from 1 species